AUACGGAGGAUGCAAGCGUUAUCCGGAUUUAUUGGGUUUAAAGGGUGCGUAGGCGGUUUGAUAAGCGGGAGGUGAAAUGCCGGCGCUCAACGUCGGAAGUGCCUCCCGAACUGGUGGACUUGAAUGACUCUGCCGUGGGAGGAAUGUGUAGUGUAGCGGUGAAAUGCUUAGAGAUUACACAGAACACCGAUUGCGAAGGCAUCUCACGAAGGGUUGAUUGACGCUGAGGCACGAAAGCGUGGGGAUCAAACAGGAUUAGAUACCCGGGUAGUCCACGCAGUAAACGAUGAUGGCUAACCGCUGGGCUUAUCAGUUCAGUGGCCAAGCGAAAGCGAUAAGCCAUCCACCUGGGGAGUACGACCGCAAGGUUGAAACUCAAAUGAAGUGACGGGG
rnacentral:rRNA from 1 species